rnacentral:rRNA from 1 species
GAUGAACGCUGGCGGCGUGCCUAAUACAUGCAAGUCGAGCGAACAGACGAGGAGCUUGCUCCUCUGACGUUAGCGGCGGACGGGUGAGUAACACGUGGAUAACCUACUUAUAAGACUGGGAUAACUUCGGGAAACCGGAGCUAAUACCGGAUAAUAUAUUGAACCGCAUGGUUCAUUAGUGAAAGACGGUUUUGCUGUCACUUAUAGAUGGAUCCGCGCCGCAUUAGCUAGUUGGUAAGGUAACGGCUUACCAAGGCAACGAUGCGUAGCCGACCUGAGAGGGUGAUCGGCCACACUGGAACUGAGACACGGUCCAGACUCCUACGGGAGGCAGCAGUAGGGAAUCUUCCGCAAUGGGCGAAAGCCUGACGGAGCAACGCCGCGUGAAUGAUGAAGGUCUUCGGAUCGUAAAACUCUGUUAUUAGGGAAGAACAAAUGUGUAAGUAACUAUGCACGUCUUGACGGUACCUAAUCAGAAAGCCACGGCUAACUACGUG